UAUAUAUAUAUAUAUAUAUAUAUAUAUAUAUAUAUAUAUAUAUAUAUAUAUAUAUAUAUAUAUAUAUAUAUACACACACAUAGCAGGAGCAGGAGUCUUGAGGUAUCACAAGUAAGGACACGUAAAAGCAUCCACGACAGAGGACCAGAGUUAAUUUUUCAACAACGUUUCACGGUUUUUUUUUUUUAGCUAACCUGAUGAUGCCGAAAGACUCGGUGAAACGUGGUUGAAAAAUAAACUCUGGUCCUUCGUCGUGGAUGCUUUUUACGUGUCCGUAUAUAUAUAUAUAUAUAUAUAUAUAUAUAUAUAUAUAUAUAUAUAUAUAUAUAUAUAUAUAUAUAUAUAUAUAUAUAUAUAUAUAUAUAUAUAUCAUUUUAUCUAAUUUACUUAUGAUAUAAUUAGCUGCAGAAAUCUUUGUAUAUCUUGUAACUUUUUUUUGUUUUUUCAGCAAAGUUAUGUAUUGAAUUUAAUAGAGAAGAACAGUUAUUCCGUUUUCCUUGAAGCAAUGAGAGAUAUGACAAUGUCACACGGAUGAGUGGCCACACCUUAUGGGUUUGUACCUACAAUUUGGUUUUACUACACGUCACAUUGUGUCUUUUACACUCACUACAUAGGUACCUGAAAACUGUAACCUGAGACAACGUGUUACUGGCCAUGACAGACUCCACAGAGGUACCUCCGUGACACCCAGUCUGUGCUUCCCACUAAAACAGGCUCCACUUCUGAACCUGUGACUUGUUUGCCUUGAUUGUUUCUAAUUUCUUCUCAACACAAUAUAAUAUGCUAUCCCAUAUGUCACAUAUAAGCGUUAACCAAUCAGAAUCCAAGAAUAAAACUAACCAAUCACAGCGCGCGUGAAGUGAAGCUAGUUCUGCAGCAUGGCAGUUCUUGUGUUACAAAUGGAGCUCUACACAUUAUGGUGCAGGAGGCUUAUUGAAAUGUAACUUAGGAAAAAAAUAACAAAUGUUCAGUUUUUGAAGCUCCUAAGUUAGCAACACUGGGGGACUGGCAACGCAGAGAAGACGGAAGUGCAAUAUGUGGCGACGUGCUGGUGGCAUUGUCCCGCUGGAAUCUAGUGUGUGGACAAAAUAACGAGUGUGGUGGUGUUUGGAGACGCAGGGACUAGAAUAAGUGCGUGCUCCGCCCUCUUCCAGCCAACAUUCUCUCCUUCCUUCUGUCCAGCCAUCGUCUUUCACCGCAAGCAUGACUGGCUGGGGUUGGCACCUCAGGAGUCGGGAGCGGGAGAGGCUGUGGCUCUCGCGUGUGGCCGCUGAUGUAACAAAGGUCCUUUUAACUUGUUCUUAUAUGUGUUGGUGUCUUGGCUCGAACUCACAAACAUUGGCUAUUCAUUAGAUUACUGUCAGAGGCUUCGGAGAUGAUUAUUCGGGUUGUCAUUGGUGUUGUUUAUUUCUCUCAUUAAAAAUCCUUACCAUAUCUAACAAAGUUUAAGGAGUUAUCGAGAUAGUGUAAUGAACCGUCUGAGAACACAGCUUUCCAUCGUGGCCACUCUUAUUUGCCUCUAUGGGAAGUUAGUAUGGAUUUUGAAGGAUAAAGAGUAAUUUCAUGGUUUUGGAGAUACUCUAAAAAGCAUUCUUGAUGAGAGAACACAACUUGUUAUUAUGAAUGCUAGACAAUAUAUUAGUACCAAGUGGGUUUUCUGCUUAUGCCAUCCCCUCCACCUCAUUCCUAGAAAAAGAAGACAAAAUAAAACAAAAUAGAAUAAACAAAUAAGAUACAAAAAUAUAUAGAUGAAAAUGGUAAAAUAGAUAAAUAAGUAAAUAGUUAGGUUUCAAUUUUUUUGUCGUUAAGUAUAGAUAUGAAUUAUUGUUAAAGGAAAGCCUCAGCACGUCCUCACCAAGAGUUUCUUGUCUCUAUAUUCAUGUUUUGAAUUGAAUGUUCUAUUAUGGCUCUCUGCAAGAUCAGAUCGGCUUUCCUUUAGUUAACCAUUUCUCUGAUAUUUGAUACACUUUUCCUUAUAAUCACCUACCACUCUGGGACAUCCCUCUUUGUUCUACAACCAACUCAAAUCAUCCUACUGGCUAGAAAUUACAAAAUGUACAUUUUUUUAUGCCCUUACAUAUAUUAUAAAGAAUCUAUGCAUUUCUUUUAGUGGUUUGAAUUAUUGUAUAUCGCAGUGAAAGUGAGUUAUCAGUGAGGUAGUUCUGUUAAUGUCACCAUGUAGCACUGACUCACCUGAACAACUGAUGCCUGGGCAUCAGUUAUGUGGGGCGGGUGGGUGCCGGACGCUGCUCAAGUUGCCGAUGAAAGGUUGAGAACUCGUUACUGGCCCCGGCCUUUAUUCUGAAAUCCCGUGGUCUCUUACCACGACUAUUUCCAAAUGUCACAGAGAGUAUUUCAUCUAUUAAAAAUUUUAUUAGUAUGUCACUAGAACCAUAAGAAAGCCUUUAAAAAUCCUUGUCACUCUUAGAUAGAGCCCUUUGAAAGUAGUAGGAGUGUGGCUCAGAAAUGCAUCAGUGCCUCACGGCGACUGUGUGGCGGGACAAUAACGCUGCCUUUCGAACACAGCCGCCCCAUGAAGGUGUCGUUGCAGCGCCACAACUUAAAAAUCUAACCUGUACGUGUGAACAGGAGGAGGACUCCUUAGAUGACGAUCAGAAGAAAGGACAGCCCUAUAAAGGGCAGACUGACCCAGCAAAACGAGGCGAGGGCCGGCGCUGUUUGUUGCUCAACCAUGUUCCGGUGUGUGCCGCCUCGGCCAAACAUUACCCAGCAAACAGGUUCCCACCAUGAAAGGCAAAGGAGCAAGGAAGGGUGACUUGUUCAUUUUCCUCGGUCUUGUACAGUGGCAUGAGCAAUACACGAGUGGCCUUACAUGGUGCGGAGUAGUGACCGGUUCCCUUAUGUAAGGACUCGGGCUUGGAAGGUGCCUCAGAGGACUUUUGAAAGGCAUCUAGCCAAGUUUUCAUAGACCUUUUCCCUCCUCAGUAAAGAUAAUUAACCGUUGCAAUGCUAUUCUCGUCCUUCCUUAUCAGUCACAAUACUAUAGAAGAAUGGUAUGCAUUGCAGGCACACUAUAAGGAAAAGAAAGGAAUAAAAAGUGGCAAACUUUGUCCUUUUAGGCUUCAGAACUAUUAAGGAGACCGUAAUAUGAAGACAAAAAAACCCAAAAGUUUUAGAAAGUAGUUAGGGAUAAAAACAAACUCUCCAUCUGUUUGGUGACUCACACUCUGACAAGCAGCGACGCUAUGUAAACAAGGGAACCUGAAAUGGAGCAGUGAGAGACCUGGGUAUGAACAGUCGGGGAGGGGAGUGCUGGCAAUCUCCAAGUGGUACAAUUUAACGAUAGGAUAAGGGAAGAUGUUAGGGAGGAUCUGAUCUACAAGUUUGAUUCUUUCCCCAUCGUCCCAGAAGGUCAUGGUUUGAGGGCCCGUACUCAGAAACGAUUUGAUCCCUCACAUAGCUGUUACAGAGAGGACUAACCGGGUUUUCAAUAAUGUUUCCCUGUUAAUAGUGAAGACAUCUUACUAAUCUCCCAAGAAAUUCUUUAAAAAUAACAGUGAGAAAAACCGCGUUGGUAUAACUUGAGUCUUUUGAAAAUAAUGAAUAUGAGGCGUAUAAGUGUCUGAGAACCGCGCCUCCACCAGCAGCGUCAGAAAAAGCAGCGGCUAUCAACAAGCAGGAAAGUCUUGUUUCGGUAUUCUCACUGCAGAUGGCGUCGGGUGAAGGACAGAGUGACCAGCAUGCCUCCAACACUCCAGUAAAAGUGUGCCAGUAGGUCCUUAGGAGCAUAGGGAAGAGAGAACAGUACAGUGUUCAUAGAAGUACUUAUGCAGGCGGAGGUGUUGCGGUCAAGGGCGACGGAGCUCCAUCAACUCAGCUGCAGAUAUCCACACUCGUUGCUCCACUUGUCUUUGGCUCACAUUCUUAGGACUAUGUUCGGGCUACUACUGCGCCAUCUUUAUUUGUAGGUUUUAUUUCUCUAGUGAGAGAUUAGUAAGAUUUUUUUUUUAUAAUAUUAACUGUAGAAACACUCCUGAGAACCUGGCUAACCAUCCCUGUAGCCUUGGAAAGUGGUAGUGGUCUCUUAAUAGUAGCUACGGUCCUUUUAUGCGUUGGUCUCGUACAAAAAAAAAAAAAAAAACACUGUAUUUUCAAAGUCGACAGAGUAAAAGUUUCAAAUUCUCCUAACUUUUUUCGAACAAUAAUGAAACGGAACACUUGUUGAGCAAUCCCUAGAAUUAUGAAAGCUCUGAUGGAAAUCUAGAUAACGCCCACUACAGUCUAGUCAAAGUAUAAUCAAGAUGAGACACCAACAGUUUAGAGAGUACAGUCCUUGGCCAAACCACUGCCUCAUUCUGGUUACUCGCGCCCUCUAUCGCAGCGACCAACAAACGCUGAGUGCUCCAUAACAUCGCACUGAUUUUGGUCUCCGUCUCAGAGCAGCUGCGUCUGUUCUUUUCCUGGAGAGUGUAUUCAUACCAAGUCAGGUGUCCAUAAGAAAAAAAAAUCUUUGGUCUUUUUCAUCACGAUUAAUUUCUAAGGACACAGAGAUGAUUAGUCUUGAUAUCAUGAUUGUUUCUCCCUUCAGUACUAAGGCAAUGUUACUAAUUUGACCCUAUAACCAUAAAAAUAACCUCAAAAACUCGUGUAGCGUAGCCUGAGCAAGUGGAGGUGCGACGCAAAAGUAUUUUAUAGGUGUGAGUGUCAUCAGUUUGAACCAGAAGUCCAGCGCACCGUGUAUCCAGCAAAUAACUAACAAUUUUUUCCAUCAUCUGGUUGCAUUCCAAGUGCAUACGAUGGACAAAGUUCCAAAUGUAAAUAGGUAAGCAAGUAAUUGUUUAUGCCAGGAUCGCUGCGCAGGUGACUGGUCAAUGAAUGGUGUUGGCAAAUUUCUGACUCUAGCGAACCUGAGCUAGUGGACUGAGGAAUUUUUAGAGAAGUUAGGCAUUGCAACUCAGACAACCACUUGACUAUCCUUGUAUUUACCAGUAUGUAUUGCAGUCUCAAAUUUUAUGUAUUAUGUAUGACAACAAUAAUUCAGCCUGCUUGAUUUGAAUAAAGACUAAUCACGUAUGCUACAAAAAUA